rnacentral:snoRNA from 1 species
GGCGCCGGCGCAAGUCGUCACGGUGACGGCGACGGUGCGCCGGUCGACGCCGCUGCUGGGUGGCACCUACCCGGUGCAGGAAGUCGACGCCGACGGGGUGAAGUGGUUCCGACCGGCCAC